CUGUUCUGAUAUGGAGCUACAAGGGGCCCAAGAGGACCUGGGCAUUUCCCUCUCUAGUCCCCGGAGGAACCAUGAAACCAGGCCAGGAAGCAAGGCUAAGGGCAGGAGCAGCAUCUGUCUCCAGGCGUCUGUUUGGAUGGCUGGAGGAAAGCUGAGGCUCAGAGCAAGUGAACAUCUAACCCAGGGCCACCAACAAGAGCUCAGGGAUUGGAAUCUGGGAGAAGAUGCUUCCCUUCUCUUCUCCAAGAGUCCUUUUGGGGCUGGCAAGUUGAUACAAGCUCCAGCUCAUGUCUUCAGACAAUGCUGGGUCCAAGGAAAUGCAUGGAUCUCCUGCAUUACAAAGUUUGACUCCAAGAGAAGCCCAGAAGUGGCUUCCAGCCCCUCCUACCUAACUGUGCCCCGCCGUUCACCACUUCCUGUCUUCCUGCGACCCAGUGACAGAUGUGUCUGUGGGGGCUGCUACUUGGGAAAGUCCACCAGGAGGAGAGCAUGCCAAUCUCUCCUCUCAGAUCCUCUGGGGGUUACUUUCCCCACCCAAACUAGGCCUUGAUGUCAAGGCCUAGUUACAGGGAUGUCAAACUAGGAGGUUGAUGUCGGUGUGGUGUGUAAGAUGUUGGGGAGAAGCUGCAGGUGCCUUCUUACCAGCUCUUCCUGAAAACUUGUCUCUCCCUCUCCUUGUUAGUCUGUUUUAUAACUCACACUCCAGCCGGGGGGAAGUAAAGGAGCUUAUCCCGUUCACAGAUCCUGUAACCCAUGGUGGUUAUUACCUCAUAGCUGGUGCAGUGUUCUUUGAGCCUAGCAGUUUGGUUUAGACUCAAGUGUCUAUUCUUUGCAGUCUUUCUGGGGUUGGUAGCAGAGAAAGAGAAGAGAACAGGUAAUUCGAUCACUCAGGUUAUUCGUGUGUAAAAGUUGAAGCCCUACCACAAACGUAUGAGUGGAUGUUAUAGUGUAAUAACCUGGACAUUGCCAAGACAGCUUCCUCAGGGCUUUUGUUUCCUCAAGCCUACCUGAAGGCUCUCUUCUCAGUCACGGGGGAUGGAAUUGUUUCAUCCCUGGCUUGCUCUGGGCCUCAGUUUCCCUAUUCCAGGAUAGUUUCCCUAUUCCCUAUUCUGCAUCAUAAAAAAAAAAAUACACUCCUGAUAGAAGUCGGUUGAUGCUUUUGGCCUGCAGCCUCCUUAAGGUUAAUAGUCCACAUAAUUUCCUCAGGGGCCCUGGCUGGCCUGUUGUGGGUGUACCCAUGAAGUAUCUUGAUUUGCUAUGAUAGGAGCCACCUUGGCUUCCUGUGGAGAUAAGCCCUGCCCCUCGUUCCCACUUUAAGCUUGAAAAGUCCCUUAUCCAACUUUGGAAUGGGAACUAGAAAGACUAAGCAGUGUCUCUCAGGGGUUCCUUCUGGGGUCACUCAGAAGAGGAGAACCAAGCAGUCUUGGCGGAGAGACACCUGAAGUUGGUCACUCGGCACAUUACCAGGGGCUCAGCAAUGACCAGCCUGCAACCAUCCUGCCUUUCCCCAGGGGUCUGGGCUCCAGCCAUGGAGGGUGGACUGGAGACUCCUUUGCCUUUCAACACUGUCUGGCCUGUCUCGGGUCCGGCACGUCUUUUCUCUACUGAUUUUGUGGCUGUGGUUAACUUAGCUAACCUUUCAGUGAAAUAAUGUCUAGUGGCAUUCCUUUACAUUUUCCAUGUGCUGUUUUUUCCAUAACUCCAUUUUCUUCAGGGCUGAGUUUGGGUCUUCAUUUUUCCACCCACAGGCCUAGUUAAGCUUGGUCUUGUGCUCCAACUUACCUGCCCCAGACUUCUUGGAUGGACAUUGUCAAUCUGGUCAUAUUGAGAGUGAAACUGCCACCUAGUGGUCACUGGAGGUGUGCCUGCCUUUUCAUGAGCUCUCUUGCUGCUGGUUACCGGAAACAUCAGUUGAUGGUUUUCUUCUAAGCUAACUCAGAAGCUGUGAUGUGAAUCAGACCAAACAAUUUAUCUGCUUCAAAUCCAUAUUGUAAAGAGGUUUAAUAUAAAGACAUAUUUUCAAAUCAAAAUAAAUAAUGAAGC
ensembl:lncRNA LINC02694 long intergenic non-protein coding RNA 2694